UUUGGCCUCAAACAAGAUAGAAUUGCAAACUGAGGGGCUUAGAGCAAGGCAUGGAAAUUAGGAGACCACUAACCAUAAGGAGGAGGAUUGGCAAUGAGAUUAAUAGGUGAAAAAGCACCAAACCCAAUCAUAUAGACAUCCUCAAAAGGCUUAGGAUUAUGUAUGGGGAGAAGCGCGAGUUUCCCGCCACUUUCGAGGACAUGGGAGUCUCGGUUCCGCUACGCACCUGCGGUAGGCGGGGACAUGGGAGCCCCGUCUAAGCCGGUGAGGACGCGGGUGCUGCCGCCAUUUGGACCACUCCGUGGAACUAAAACAUUUUUUAUAUUACAUAGUUUACAUAUUUCAGAUUACAUAGUUUAUUUUUUUCAGAACUGAACUAUUUAGGUUCCGAUUGCUAUCUUCUACUUUUCGUAUAUUCUUAUUUGAAGUUCACAUCUUUGCCAUGUUCAGUUGGACAAUGCCUACACCUAUUAUAAGUCCUUUCAAGUUCACACAAGAAAUUAGACA